UCUGUACUUCAGUGGUAGAAUAUCUGCUUUGCCUGCAGAAGAUCCCAGGAUUCAGUCCCUGGCAUCUCAA